rnacentral:rRNA from 1 species
CAGUCGCCGCGGUAAAACGAAGGGUGCAAGCGUUAAUCGGAAUUACUGGGCGUAAAGCGUGCGUAGGCGGUUUGUUAAGUCUGUUGUGAAAUCCCCGGGCUCAACCUGGGAAUGGCAAUGGAUACUGGCAAGCUAGAGUGUGUCAGAGGAUGGUGGAAUUCCCGGUGUAGCGGUGAAAUGCGUAGAGAUCGGGAGGAACAUCAGUGGCGAAGGCGGCCAUCUGGGACAACACUGACGCUGAGGCACGAAAGCGUGGGGAGCAAACAGGAUUAGAUACCCCGGUAGUCCCUGUCUCUUAUAC